GACGUAGGGCGCGAGCGUUGUCCGGAUUUAUUGGGCGUAAAGAGCUCGUAGGCGGCUUGUCGCGUCGUCCGUGAAAACUUGGGGCUCAACCCCAAGCUUGCGGUCGAUACGGGCAGGCUAGAGUUCGGUAGGGGAGACUGGAAUUCCUGGUGUAGCGGUGAAAUGCGUAGAUAUUGGGAGGAACACCAGUGGCGAAGGCGGCUCACUGGACUGGUACUGACGCUGAGGCGCGAAAGCGUGGGGAGCAAACAGG
rnacentral:rRNA from 1 species